GUCCCAAGGCUCGCUUCGG
rnacentral:snRNA from 1 species